AGAAGUUGGGGUUGCAGUGACAAUAGCUGUCCUCCUAAAAUGGAUCAGAGCUUUCUGUAUAAAAAAAUAACAAAGAGGAAGCUGAGACUUUUCUGGUAGGUUUCCCAAGAUCUAGCCCGGAGGGAUGAAGGCAAAAUCAUGGCAGAUGGGAGCAGCAGCCAACAUCUUACCUAGGAUGUAGAAGAGGGUAAUUCCCACCAUGGAAUAAGUGAUGCCCAUGACAAGCAGUGGAAAGCAGUAGACCAGCACAAUCACAAUAACAUGAUACCUGCAACGAGAAGGUAUUAAGGUGACCUUGUACCUCUCCACACCUCAUCUCCAAGGACAGUAGAAGAUGGUAGAUAUUUGAGCUGAAGGAGGAUUUCUAAUGGCUACAAGCAACUGAAGGCUUGUUUAACCACUGAAAAGCAUUCUGGAGCCACGCAGACACUUUUUCAGUGGGGUGCUGUGCCAAUUUGCUUUGCUGUCUUUGGACAUUUAAUGUUCAGUCUGUCACCAGGCUUGAGCAGUGUGACUUCGUGCUGAAUAAA